rnacentral:rRNA from 1 species
UUCCGGUUGAUCCUGCCGGACCCUAUUGCUAUCGGGAUGAGACUAAGCCAUGCUAGUUGUGCGCUUCCUAGCUAUGUUGGAAGAGCAGCAAACGGCUCCGUAACACGUAGUUAAUCUGCCCUUAGGACAGACAUAACCUUGGGAAACUGAGGCUAAUAUCUGAUAGGUGGAAACGCCUGGAAUGGUCUUCCGCUUAAAGGUUUUUGGAGACAUGCCUCCAAGAAUGCCUAAGGAUGAGACUGCGGCCGAUCAGGCUGUUGGUGGGGUAACGGCUCACCAAACCUAUAACCGGUACGGGCCCUGAGAGGGGGAGCCCGGAGAUGGGAACUGAGACAAGGUCCCAGGCCCUACGGGGCGCAGCAGGCGCGAAACCUCCACAAUGCGCGAAAGCGUGAUGGGGUUAUCCCGAGUGCCGUCCGUUGAGGAGGGCUUUUCCCCAGUGUAAGGAGCUGGGGGAAUAAAGGGGGGGCAAGACUGGUGUCAGCCGCCGCGGUAAUACCAGCCCCCUGAGUUAUAGGGACGAUUAUUUAGCCUAAAGCGUUCGUAGCCGGCUCAGCAAGUCUUUCGUUAAAUCUAACGACUCAAUCGUUAGGCCGCGGAAGAUACUACUAGGCUUGAGGACGGGAGAGGUCGACGGUAUUCCCGGUGUAGGGGUGAAAUCCAAUAAUCCCGGGAGGACCACCAGUGGCGAAGCGGUCGACCAGAACGUGCCUGACGGUGAUGGACGAAAGCUGGGGGAGCAACCGGAUUAGACACCGGGUAGUCCCAGCUGUAAACGAUGCGAGCUAGUGUUGGGGUAGCCACGAGCUGUCCCAGUGCCGCAGAGAAGUUGUUAAGCUCGCCGCUUGGGGAGUACGGCCGCAAGGUUGAAACUUAAG